rnacentral:rRNA from 1 species
GAUCAUGCCUCAGGACGAACGCUGGCGGCGUGCCUAACACAUGCAAGUCGAACGGGGUUAGGAAAGCUUGCUUUCCGAAGCCUAGUGGCGGACGGGUGAGUAACGCGUGAGUAACCUGCCUUUCAGAGGGGAAUAACGUUCUGAAAAGAACGCUAAUACCGCAUAACGUACAGUUACCGCAUGGUAGCAGUACCAAAGGAGCAAUCCGCUGAGAGAUGGACUCGCGUCCGAUUAGCUAGUUGGUGGGGUAAAGG